GUGGAAUCCCUCUUCUCCUACUCUCCUUCCCCCUCCCGGAGCCAAGCUUUUCCCACAUCUCACUGCCUCCUGCCUACUCUGUCUGGUGUUUUUUCCUCUGCUCUGCCUUGAUUCAGUUAUUUAUCUUUGAAGGCCUGGGUUUAGGAUUAGGUAAGGGCAGCCUGGUAUCCCAGUUCAUGAGUGUGGCCCGGAGCCUUGGGCACGAAAAUUCUUUAGCAGCACCUUCUGCUUUGCUGGGCGCUGCCCCUGGGACUCGGUGGGUCGGUUGCCUCCUGGCGCAGCGGGUUGGUUUGUAGCUGAGAUGGGGGAGCGUGGAAGGAUCUUGGUGCAGUGCACAUGUAAUCAAACAAAUGUUUAUUGUUUUUCCCUCCUUCUCUCCCUUUCCAAGGAUGACAUCGAGAAUGCCAAGUAUGUUUCCCGGUUAUUUUCGACACGGCACAAGUUUUAUAAACAAAACAAAAUCUGCACUGAGCAGCCUGACUCUCCACGGCCCAUCCGACGCCAGCCCACCUGGAGCCGCUCCUCCGUGCCCCGUCAGCAGCCGUACAUCCUGCCUCCUGUGCACGUCCAGUGCAGUGAGCACUACUCGGAAACACACACGUCACAAGACAGUAUUUUCCACGGGAACGAAGAGGCCUUGUACUGCAACUCUCACAACAGCCUGGACCUGAGCUACUUAAACGGCGCCGUCACCAACGGCAGUGUGUGCAGCGUGCAUAGCGUCAACUCCCUUAGCUGCCCGCAGAGUCUCCUGCAGACCUCACCAGUGUCCUCCAACCUCAGCAUCCCCGGGAGCGACAUCAUGCGGGCUGACUACAUCCCCAGCCACCGGCACAGCGCCAUCAUCGUGCCGUCCUACCGGCCGACCCCUGACUACGAGACAGUCAUGCGGCAGAUGAAGAGGGGGCCCGUCCACGGGGACAGCCAGAGCCAGUCCCUGCGCAACCUCAGCCUGCUCAGUGCCCACGCCUACAGCCAGCCUGAGGAGCUGGUGUACAGCCAGCCGGAGAUGCGCGACCGGCACCCUUACACCGCGCGCUACGCCCCGCCGCGGGGCUACGGCCAUGCCCUGGUCUGCCCAGCCGACCCCGUGAACCCCAAGAGCGGUGUGGUGCCCAGCAGGCCGGGGGCCAGCGCCAUCUCUCACACGGUGAGCACCCCGGAGCUGGCCAACGUGCAGCUGCAGGGGCCGCAGGGCUACAGCGCUGCCCACCUGCUCAAGAACUAUCUCUUUCGGCCGCCGCCACCCUACCCCCAGCCCCGGCCCGCCACCAGCACCCCGGACCUGGCCAGCCACCGGCACAGGCACGUCAGUGGCAGCAGCCCCGACCUGGUGACGCGCAAGGUGCAGCUGUCUGUGAAGACCUUCCAGGAGGACAGCUCUCCGGUGGUGCACCAGUCCCUGCAGGAGGUGAGUGAGCCCCUGCCGGCCACCAAGCGCCACAGCCUGGGGCACUGA
rnacentral:lncRNA from 1 species